rnacentral:tRNA from 2 species
AGCCUUGUAUUCACGUUGUGAUAAUAGAAUGCAAUUCUGUAGGGGUGAGGUUAAACUUACCAAGGCCU